rnacentral:rRNA from 1 species
CAGCAGCCGCGGUAAUACGUAGGUGGCAAGCGUUGUCCGGAAUUAUUGGGCGUAAAGCGCGCGCAGGUGGUUUAAUAAGUCUGAUGUGAAAGCCCACGGCUCAACCGUGGAGGGUCACUGGAAACUGUUAAACUUGAGUGCAGGAGAGAAAAGUGGAAUUCCUAGUGUAGCGGUGAAAUGCGUAGAGAUUAGGAGGAACACCAGUGGCGAAGGCGGCUUUUUGGCCUGUAACUGACACUGAGGCGCGAAAGCGUGGGGAGCAAACAGGAUUAGAUACCCCCGUAGUCCCUGUCUCUUAUAC